ACGCUCGACACCUACGGGAGGCGGCAGUCGGGAAUAUUGCGCAAUGGAGGAAACUCUGACGCAGUGACGCCGCGUAUGGGAAGAAGGUUUUCGGAUUGUAAACCAUUUUAGACAAGGAAGAAACAAGACAGUACUUGUAGAAUAAGCUCCGGCUAACUACGUGCCAGCAGCCGCGGUAAUCUGAGCGGGCUGGCAAGGC
rnacentral:rRNA from 1 species